AUGCACGCUGGCGGCGUGCCUAAUACAUGCAAGUCGAGCGAACAGACGAGGAGCUUGCUCCUCUGACGUUAGCGGCGGACGGGUGAGUAACACGUGGAUAACCUACCUAUAAGACUGGGAUAACUUCGGGAAACCGGAGCUAAUACCGGAUAAUAUAUUGAACCGCAUGGUUCAAUAGUGAAGGACGGUUUUGCUGUCACUUAUAGAUGGAUCCGCGCCGCAUUAGCUAGUUGGUAAGGUAACGGCUUACCAAGGCGACGAUGCGUAGCCGACCUGAGAGGGUGAUCGGCCACACUGGAACUGAGACACGGUCCAGACUCCUACGGGAGGCAGCAGUAGGGAAUCUUCCGCAAUGGGCGAAAGCCUGACGGAGCAACGCCGCGUGAGUGAUGAAGGUCUUCGGAUCGUAAAACUCUGUUAUUAGGGAAGAACAAAUGUGUAAGUAACUAUGCACGUCUUGACGGUACCUAAUCAGAAAGCCACGGCUAACUACGUG
rnacentral:rRNA from 1 species